UACGUAGGGUGCGAGCGUUGUCCGGAAUUAUUGGGCGUAAAGAGCUCGUAGGCGGUCUGUCGCGUCGGAUGUGAAAGCCCGGGGCUUAACUCCGGGUCUGCAUUCGAUACGGGCAGACUAGAGUGUGGUAGGGGAGAUCGGAAUUCCUGGUGUAGCGGUGAAAUGCGCAGAUAUCGGGAGGAACACCGGUGGCGAAGGCGGUUCUCUGGGCCUUACCUGACGCUGAGGAGCGAAAGCGUGGGGAGCGAACAGG
rnacentral:rRNA from 1 species